GAAACAACAGAAAAAUAAAAAUUCGUUUUGUAAAGCACGAAAAGCAAAGCAACAAUGGGUCACGCCAAGGAGCAGAAAGCUAUCUCUGCUCAGGUAUCGCAGCCGCCAGCAUCGGACAGAUUCAAAUAACCACUGUUACAAGGAAGAAAUGAAGAGGUGACCACAGGGCAUAAUGCAAAUUACAAAGUGGCACGGUGGCAAGGGCAGAGCAACAAGAAUGCAAACCACAAAAAUAUCUGCCACUUCAGUUCUUCUCAAGUCAGACAAUGCAAAUUAUUUAUUGUUCUAGAUUAAAGUGUAAUUUGUUUAUAAAAUAUCCCCAAAAUAAAGAUAACUUCUCCGAAUGUUAUGUAUUUUUCAGUUUGUCUGAG